rnacentral:rRNA from 1 species
GAUGAACGCUGGCGGCGUGCCUAAUACAUGCAAGUCGAGCGAACAGAUAAGGAGCUUGCUCCUUUGACGUUAGCGGCGGACGGGUGAGUAACACGUGGAUAACCUACCUAUAAGACUGGGAUAACUUCGGGAAACCGGAGCUAAUACCGGAUAACAUAUUGAACCGCAUGGUUCAAUAGUGAAAGGCGGCUUUGCUGUCACUUAUAGAUGGAUCCGCGCCGCAUUAGCUAGUUGGUAAGGUAACGGCUUACCAAGGCAACGAUACGUAGCCGACCUGAGAGGGUGAUCGGCCACACUGGAACUGAGACACGGUCCAGACUCCUACGGGAGGCAGCAGUAGGGAAUCUUCCGCAAUGGGCGAAAGCCUGACGGAGCAACGCCGCGUGAGUGAUGAAGGUCUUCGGAUCGUAAAACUCUGUUAUCAGGGAAGAACAAAUGUGUAAGUAACUGUGCACAUCUUGACGGUACCUGAUCAGAAAGCCACGGCUAACUACGUG